CUACAUGUUUCUGAUUCUGAUGGGUACUGGACUCAAUGUUACAUGCAAAUAAGUUUGAGCUAAUAGAUCUUUGCAUUUUACACAUUGCUGAAGAGCAUAGAAUGUAAUUAGGUCUCCCUUUUAUAUGGUUGCAGCUUGUCCUUUUACUAAAUCAAUUGUCUUUGCUACUCAUUUAUGUCAUUUUCUCUGUCUUCAGUGUUUCUUUCCAACCUAGAGUGAGACAUUUACUCUAGCUUUGAUGAAAUACAAGAAGUGGAACUUGUUGGUCAAAACGUUGGACAAAACAGAUGGAGAAGUAAAGAAGUAUGUGACAUAAGACAUGCAGAAAUUUGGAUCUCUCCAAUUAAUCAUGGUUCACAGCUGACAAAAAGAGAGAAACUCCCAAGUUCCAUGCAGAAACCUCAUACUAUCUUCAAACCAAAAUCAAACCAAAAAUUAUAUCAACUGAAUAUUAAAGCCAAGACUUUUUCUAUUGUGAACUUGGGUGACUAAAUCUAAGAAUGGACUGAUAAACAUUGCUGAGUGGUACACAUUGGAUGAAAUCAUUACCCUACCAUCAUCACUAAGAAAUGACAAUGCUGUCACCUGCAAGCAGGCCAUGAAAUGAUGGUGAGUAAUCACUGUAACCUCUCUCUCCUGGGUACUUUAUAUGUUCUGAAGUUCAUUUUACCCUCACAUCAGAUGAUGAAGUGACCACUUUAUACACCUUUUACAGAUAGGAAAGCUGAGGUUUAAAGUGUUAAAUCAAUUUCACAAAUUACUGAGCUGACAAAUGUAAGCUCUGAUAACGGAAUCCAUACCAGAAAUUUGGUUCUAUGAGAAUCAGGAGCAUAUUCUCUGAACAUGAAAUUCAGAGACACAAAUAUUUCUUAAAUAUGAUAAAGAGUUUAGAAGAAUUUGGUCUGUCAAAUAUUGGAAUGGGGUGCCUCUAGGGGAUUGAUUCUUUCUGGAGAUAAUGAUGGAGUGGUUGGGUAAUUUAUAUUCAGUGAUUUUACAGAGAGGGAUUCAGAUGUUGGAUAGGGCUUGAGAGUAUGUUUUCUUUCAUUGUCUUCACUCUAUGAUCCAUGAUUUUAUCCCGUGAAACAUUUCCUGAUGUUUUAAGUUUUCUGAGGUCAAGGGGUAUUGUGUUUACUAUUAUUAUGCUUAUUAUUGUCUUCACUGACACCAGUCAUCAUUUUUAAGACAAGCCCAAAAGGGUAAGACUUUAAAUUAUUAUGUCUUUGCUAAUGUACAAUUUAAAGGGACGUUUAUUUGCUAUAUAAUUUUGAGGAAAAGGUCAAUUGUUUCUUUCUUUUUGAGGAACUAGUUACUGCCAUGAAAUUGGUAAAUUGGGAAUGUUUGUAUCUAUAGAAGGUAAAUAAAUUUUUCAAGGGAUUAAA